GUUUACUUCAGCUGCCCACAUAUUAAAAUUGGAACCAUGCUGAGAAGAUUAGCAUUUUCCCUGUGUUAGGAUGACAUGCAGCCUAGUGUAAUAUUUUUUUUAUAU